rnacentral:tRNA from 1 species
UAGCUCAAAUGGUAAAGAAUCUGCCUGCAAUGCAGGAGACCCAGGUUCAAUUCCUGG